GGGGAUUUAGCUCAGUGGUAGAGCACUUGCCUAGCAGGUGCAAGGCCCUGGGUUCGGUCCCCAGCUCCA
rnacentral:tRNA from 1 species